UUUCUACUCCCUCCGUCCAAAAAUACUUGUCAUCAAAAUGGAUAAAAAUAGAUGUAUCUAAAACUAAAAUACGUCUAGAUACAUUUCCUUUUAUCCAUUUUGAUGACAAGUAUUUCCGAACGAAGGGAGUAUUUG
rnacentral:pre_miRNA from 1 species